UACGUAGGGGGCAAGCGUUGUCCGGAUUUAUUGGGCGUAAAGAGCGUGUAGGCGGCUUUACAGGUCCGUUGUGAAAACUCCAGGCUCAACCUGGAGACGCCAUUCGAUACUGGUGUGGCUAGAGUCCAGUAGGGGAGUGUGGAAUUCCUGGUGGAGCGGUGAAAUGCGCAGAUAUCAGGAGGAACACCCGUAGCGAAGGCGGCACUCUGGGCCGAUACUGACACUGAGGAGCGAAAGCGUGGGGAGCGAACAGG
rnacentral:rRNA from 1 species